UCUUCUUAAGGGGUUGCAAGCCCCUUCAGCUCCUUCAUUUUUAUUUUAAUCAGCGAGGCUCUAAUCACUAUGGCUGAUUCUCAGCAUCUCUCUGCAUUUCUCUGGGCUACAUAGAUGAAUAUAUCAUUUCUCUUAUAUGAAAUUAUUUUUGUUUGCUUGCUUAUAGCUCUGUCCUAGGAUGAGUAGCUGCUUUUUAAACAUUAUUGAAUGUGAACUGCAGCCUAUUACAUCCGAGAAUUCAAAUGGAAAGCUAUUCUAUUGUAUGCACCCCAAAGAAAUCAAUGAAGCUAAAUUUUAUACCAACAGUAUUAUUCACAUUUGUUCCAAAUCUCUAUGUCAGCAUCCUGGGUAUUAUAAAAAUAUUUAAAUAGAAAAUUAUUAGAACCUUUCACAAGGAUAUGUAUAUACACCUACUGCCCUAGCCAAGGCAUUAGAAGUGAGGGAUAUAAGAUCCUGAGAAUCAAUUCUGUUAUGCAGAAUCCGACUGUGCAGUACUUCUGAAUAUGGGAUGGCUCUCAUCUUCCUCCCAACCCAUAGAAAAUUAGGUAAAAGACCCUAGGAAAUGGAAAGACUACUUUGUAAGAUUCAUGGUUCUCAUUACCAGGUUUUAGGUACAUGUGCUUCUGCAAGUAUAUAAAAGUGAAUGUCAUACGCCAAUCCAGGGUAAUAUUUCUUUAGAAGCCAAACACCUUUGGUUUUUGAUACAGUGUGUGUGAUUUGGAAGUGAAAGCUAGGUCUGCUUCAGCCUCCUAGCCCUGUGUUCCCAGAAAUAAGACUCUGACUUAAAAUAUAUUUACAAAUUCCUUCCUUAUAUAGUUAGGCUCUAUUCUGAGUAGAUCAAACCUUAAGAUACCCCAAUUAUUUUCAUCUACAUUAUGUCACAUGGCUGAUUACCUGUGCUCAGGUAUCACGUGUCUGUCUCCUCACAUCAUCCCAGGUAGACCUUCCUUUGCCUCACUUGACUCAAGAAUCCUUUCUCCUUCCUGAUGUCCCACCUUCUAUUUCCAGUUUAAAAAUAUUCUCUCUAAACCUGAACUUAACAGAAUCCUUUCUGACUGGCCAGCAAUCCUCAGUGAUCUACCUGUUGCUCUCCAUGAGUCUGGGUCCAUAAACAGUUAUCUCUAAAUCUAAUUUUAAGGUGGGUCCCAUCAUGUGUGUUUGAUUCAAAAUCUCAUGCUGGCUUCAAAAUCACUAUGUAGCUAAAUGUUGCCUUAAACAUCUUAUCCUCCUUCUUCAGUGUAUACACUGAAGAAGUGUAUACCACCAUGUUCAGUGUAUACAGUGCUGGGGAUGUAGCCCAGGGCUUUUCAUGCCCGCCAUGAAAGCACUCUGAGAAGCUACAUGCCCUGUCUUGUUUACUUUUAAUACUCAAUUUUUUGAAGCUAUGGGCACUUUUAUUAUUUUAUAGUUCUCUGUUUGGUUUAGUUUUGCUUUAAAUUAUUCACUAACUCCCUUUGUGGCCAAAGAUGAUUGACCAUAUCUCUAAAACUGAUAGCAUGAAAUGCAUUUCUUAAAAGUUGCACAUUGUUUUGUAAAUCUUCCAAGAAGUUGUGGAUAUGAAAAUAUUUAACAUAUAAAAAAUCAAAUGCCUCCUUGAAACCAGUAGCAGGCUAGAAGGACCCAGACAGGUACUAACCAUUUCCACUAGGGCUUGCAAAUCGUGCACUGCACUUAGUUUCUUAAUUGACAAGGUGAUAGAGUGGAAAGUAAACAUUAAAAAAAAAGACAUUAUCCAGGUGCUCAGAUUUUAAGAUUCCUCAUCAAUUUAGUCUUUAUGUAAACAGUUAAUGUAGGCAGAUGACAUUUUUACACAAAAACUGGCUUUAUAACUAUCUGGAGACCUUUUAAAACGUGUUAUAUUAUCUAUCCCCGGGGAAAAGUCUGGGAAGUCAUCUCAAGCAAUUGUGUCAUAUGUAUUAAUUUUAUGAGAACUUCGGCACACAUGGCCAGUGAUCCACUGGGGAAUUUCAUUUAUUUUGGUUUCCACAGCUUAGUGCUGUGUAAAGAUGAUGGAUUUAUGCUGAUCCUAGAAGCUUUCUUUAGAAAGUCAAACUUCUGUCUUCCAGACAAGAGUCCUUCAUCUAGCAGGCUGAACUCCAUUUUUAGAGGAGAUAUGCCUUCUUUCAGUCACCCUUGUUUUUGUUUUGUUUUCCUUUGUUCUCUAAUUUCAUAUGGAUGUAGUGCUUCUUAGCUGCAGGCAUUGUCUCUUAUACCUCUCCCAUCCCUAUUACCUACCACAGAACUAUCUUUCCCACAUUUAUAAUGUUUUGCUCAGUUUUAUGGGCCACUAAGUUUAACCAGGACUGUCUGUGUCUCAUGGUUUUGUUGCUAUUAGAAAGUUUGACCCCCUCAUGAAGUCAAACUAAAGAUGAUGUCUGCCCUUCUCUCAGUGUCCGUUAAUAGCUCAUAGCUCAGCAGUGAUCAAUAGUAGGGUGACAAGAGACUCUCCUUAAAUUAUGAUUGGCUGUUGUCAGGCCUAGACUUGUGCGGGCCCAUUGUUGACAGCCUGUACUACAGUGAUGUCAUAAUUGCAUUAGUUGUGUCAUGCACACAAGAUAGACUUUCUUAACCUCUGUAUCUUACUCUAUUAUCCCUCCAAGCUUAUCUGUGUUGUUGACCAAACCCUAGAGGAAGUGGGAGGAAUGUUCCAUUGGGAGACUGAAAGCAAGUUAAAAGGAGACCAUGUUGCUGGAUACUUUUGUCUUUAUGUAAAGCACAAAGCUGAUUUGAACAUAAAGGAGUCAACAGCCCAGAAAUGUCAAUCUGUGCAGAAAAAAGAAGUGCGAUCUCUCUAGCCUAGGGAAAAUCUAGAAAGAAAAAUCAAAUAAGCAAAAGGAAACAACACUUAUAGAACAAAUGAUGAUGUACCCAAGUACUGCUGUAAAAAGAACAACUCACACCCCUUUUAUCCACUCCAGGAACAGCUAUGACAGUACAGACUUGUAAAUGUGUAUCAUCCAGAGGCUGUGUCCUUCUUUUUGGCAUGCUCAAGUGCCUCCCCAUCUCACCCUACCCCUUUUCUCCUGGAUGGUUACAGGGAAAUUCCUGGGGUCCAGGUUUUUCAUAACCCUUUGGAUAGUCACAAAGCUGACCAUGGUGUCAGCUGAGACAUCAUAGAGACAUGAAACCUUAGUUUGCACCCAAGAAUAAUGAAAGGACAUUUCUUUAGGUGUCAUGAUGGUUAGAGAUGUCAAUUUGACCUAAAGGGUGGAAUUCUGCAGGGCUGUCUUGAAAUAAUUUCUUGAUAUAGGAUUAUCUGGUAUCACUGUAGGUAGGACCACUAAGUAGUGGAAGCCUACACUAUAUUAAGUGGAACGUGUAAACCAAACACUAGCAUGAAUUCAUCAGUGCUCUUCAUUAUUCACAUACGUGAUAGAACCAGGUGCGUCCAUCUCCUGCAACUAAGAUUACUCUCCUUUGUGACGACCUCUGACCUGGAACUGCACGCCAAAGUAAACCCCUUCCCAUUGAGUUACUUUAUCAAAAUUAUUAUUACAAAAGGAAAACAAUUUAAUAAAAUCAUCAAUAAAAAAUUAAUUAUAUUGCUGCAUUGGUAACAAAAGAAUCUCUCCGUAAUAGAAAAUUACAGGACACAUUCUUUUAACACUCAUGAGUCAAAUAUAAUAAGUCUGAAAGAAAAUCAUGAAGUCUAUUAAACUGAAUAAAAGUCAAAAUUUUCAUUUAUGGACAUUUGAUGACAUACACUAGUUAGAAAACAUUUAUAGUACUAAAUGUGUAAUGCAUAGAAAAAGAAAAGUGCCAGGAAUUACUAGGUGUGCCCCUGACCCCAGAACCUGGGAAACUGAGGUAGGAAGAUGGUAAUUCAAGGCUAUAUGGGAGACAGAGACCGACUCUGUCUGAAGCUAACAAACAACUACAAUCUUCAAUUAUAAUUUGACUGUCAAAACUGACAGAGCAAAUAAAAAUAAAAUUACAUAGUAUAACGUUAUUAUUAACUAUUGAACAGUGCUAUCUACUCCCAUAACCCACUUUAAAAAAAACAUACAAAAUGAAAGGAACCUAAGGAAGAGGCUGAGAAAAGAGAGCAAAACCCAAAAAUUAUAUUAAAAGGACAACAACAACAACAACAACAACAACAAAAAUAAACAGUGAAGAAUCUCAAAUCAAAUCAUUGAAAAAAUGAUUUUUAAAACUGACACAGAAAUUAUGCACAUAGACAAAAGUGGUGUUAUAAACGUUAUUGGAAUUAUUUACAAAAUUAUUUUUGUCCUGCGGGAAGACAUUUUAAGGAGGUAAAGUUAAACUGUGGAGAAGGAUAAAAUAUCUACUUCAAUACAUCAUGAAAAGAGCUAGAAACUAGAAUGGGAAGAAUGAGGAACUGGUGAGACGGCUCUGUGGUUAAAGGUGGUCACGGCUGAGUCUGAUUACCUGAGUUUGAUUCCUGGGACUGGGAUGGUGGAGGAGAGCACCCACUCCCUCAAGGUAUCUUUGGAUUGCCACACUUCUAGUAGUGACCAGGAAAUCUUCCCAAUAUACACAAAUAAGGAGUAAAUAAAUAAUUCUUUAAAUUAGACUAUAAAACUUUUAAAUCAUGUAAAAAAUAUACAAACAAGGCCAUUCUUUGGAUGGAUGUGAAGAGACACAGUACUUUAGAUUUUAUUCAGAUCACUGUGAACCUUGUCUAAGCUUGUCAUGCAUCAAAAAAAAAUCAAAUGAAGUUCACAGGGAAGGUUAAUCUCCAAGUAAAGUGGCUAGAAAAUAUUAGCAGCCACACCACAGUGUGGAGAGGAAUUGGAGAGAAGGGCUCACCCAGAGUAUUGCUGGCAGGAAUGGAAAAUGCUUCAUUCACUAUCUUGGCUUUGUUUCCUGUUGCUGUGAUAAAAUAUCUGACAAAAGCAAGUUUUAGAAGAAAGGGGCUUUUGUUGCUCACAGACCCAGUUUACUGCCUCUCACUGAGGGAAGUUACUGAGGUAGCAGAUGGAGAGAACUGGUCACCCUGCAUCCACACGCAAGAGCUGGUGUCAAUGGAUAAAUAUAUCAUGCGAUGUUAACCUCAUGCUCCUCCCAUGUAUGUGGUUUAGGGUCCUAUGGUAAGGAAUAGUGCUCUAGUCUCUGAGUGAUGUCUUUUCUUAUCAAUUAAGUUCAAGACAACUCACUUCAGACAUGGCCCUGAUCCAAUCUGCUCGAGACAACUCUUCACCAAUAUUUCUCCCUGAUGAUUCUAAAUUGUGUCAAGUUGACAGUCGCAGUUAAUGAUCACAAGAAUACUGGAGAAAAGUUAAAAUUUUUCUUCUAAAGAAAAAUAAGUUCAGACAUGCACGUGCAUGCGUGCGUGCACACGCAAACACUCCCCUGUUAACAGGCUAGGGUGUGACUUGAUUUUGCAGGGAUGGGAAGCACUGUGCAUGAUCUGAGACUCUGGACUAAGACAUCUAUGGGGCAGACAAAUAGACGAAUACCUGGUUCUUGACUUGAGCUGUAACUACAAGAAUGCUUCCUUUAAAAUAUUUUCUGAGGUCCUGUAUGUAUUUUCUAUGCCUUUUAAGAAACUGAAGAUUUUAGAGCAGAUUUUUCAAUUUAAAAUUUUCAAAUCUUACAAAUGAUUUUAAGCCUAUAUUUUUUUUAACUUUAGUAUGUACAGAUGGUCUUCAAUGUAUGACCAUACUACUUAACAUUUUCCUCAUAGCAAUACAUAUUCGGUACAAACCAUAUUUCAAAUAUCUUUUUGGUUAAUGGUGGAUUCUUGAGCUACUUACUAACAGCAGAAAACCCAUAGCUGCCCGUCAGCCCAGUGAAGAUAAAAGUGACAGUGUGCGUUGUCCUAAGUUUGAAGCUCAGUAGCCAAGUGCGUUCAUGGCGUAUAUGUAUAUGACAGCAUAUGUGCCUUAGCCACUUUGCUGUUGCUGUAAUAAGAAGUUUGAUUAAAGCAAAUUAAGGGAAGAGCAGUUUAUUCUGGCAUCAUGGUAGGGAAAUCACAGAGACAGAGGAAACUUGCCACAUUGCAAGUACAUCCCAGAGCAGUGAAUGAUUACAUGAACUCUCAACCGUGUUCUCUGUUUUAUAUACUUCAGAAUCCAUACCCAGGAAGUCGAGCUGGGCAGGGAGACAUAGGUUGUCCUUUUAUACCCCAGGAUGACCUCUAACUUUCUACGUAUCCCAAGAUAGCCUUUAAUACUCAACCUUCCUGACUCAGCUCCCAGGACCCUGGGAUUAUGAGUGCAAAUUAUAAGAUUCAUUCUAAUCCUAAUGAUAAUAGCAUCUUUCCCUUCUUCCACAAGCUAGUUAUUAGGGGUUUCUAGUUCUGUUAAUGUAAUAGUUAAUUUUCAAGAGACAAAAAUGCUAGAUUUUUAGUAUAGAAGCAGUUAUCUAUUUUCAUGUUUAAAAAUGAACUAAAGUAUAAGAGACCAAUAUAACCCUGGUGAUAAAUUUUACAUGCUUUUAAAGCAGUGUUGUCUGGAUCUCAAGUAUGAGAAAUUAUAAUCUAUCAUCAGAAGAGCAAGGGACAAGGUUUGUGUACAACUAGUGGAAAUUUUAGCAUUUCACUUUUACAGAUAUCGCUUCCUAAGUGAAAUUCAUAUUUACUACAUUGGGAAAUGCUGAUUUAAUUUGUCAAUGUUAUUUAUAGCCCAAUGGCCAAUUUUGUAUACAAUAUUAAUAUUAUAAGAAUAAAAACCUAAUUAUGCAUUUAUUACUUACAUAAUUAUGAUCUAAUUAUCCAACUAGCAGAAAAUGCCUUUCACUGUGGGUAGAUUUCAAUAAAGAUAUUUUUUAUAAACUUUACUUGGCACUUACUGUGCAAUAAAUGUCUCCAUAAAUAUAAAUCCAGUGCUUUCUUCAGAGAGCCCAUUUUACAUAAUCAAUCUUAGUGACAACAGUUUUGUUUAGAAAAUAUGACUUUUAAAUAUUGAAUAGAUUAGAGCCCAUGGCUUUUCCUAAGCAAUACUCCUCCUUCCUUAUAAAUGACGUUUAAAACUGUUCUUUUCUGUUUCCUUUCAAUGUGAAACAAAAUAGUCCAUCAAUUGUGUCAUCUCAAUUGUGUCAGGCUUCCUCCUUCUCUUCUUCUUUUGUAUGGUUUCGUGGAUAAUUGAGUAAAAUUAUUGAAUAUGAAGCAUACCAAGGGUAGAACACUCUUAUGUGGCCAAAUUUGCUAGACCCCUCUUCUAGGGUCUCACCACUAUUACACACUAGCAAAACAGAAACUCUGUACAUUAGUAACUGUACAUUAUCCAGAAACUCAUCCAAGCAAAACCAAUGGUAAAACAAACGAGUAAGACCUAAUGUCUCAUUACCAGACAUAAUUACUACAAAUAAACAUGUUUGAGAUUUUAGAGAUAUUUGAAGGAGACUGGAAAUUUCUGGUGUUACUUAUGUGGUUAUGUUAAGACCAGCAUUCAGAUUUGUUACUAUGCAACAAAUUUGUUACUAUUUUGAUGAUUGGCUUUCUUAAACUGUACACUUCUUAGGAAAGUGAAUUAAAAUAUUAGCAACUGACUUUCAUAGUCAAGUCUUUUUUCUGGGUUAUUUCAUCACUUACUUAUUCAUUCAAUAAAUAUAUUAUCCCACUAUUUUUUACCAUUUCCGUUGUAGCCUAAGUAAUGUGACCAAAACUAAAAUGUGCACUUUUAUAAAAUCAUGAUCAAGUGGAAGGCAACAUUACAAUAAAAGCAAGGUAGAUAUAGUCAGAUGGUAAAUGCUAUAAAUAUUCUAUAGUUAAUUCACAGAGGAAUAAAACAAUAUCAGGGUCCUGUUUUGUGAUUUUUGCGAUAAAAUGAAAAUUGGGAGGGUCUUGGUGUAAAUAAAAGAGUUAUCCAGGUGACAAACUAAGGGAGCUGUUUCACCGAAAGGCAAUUGUAAGCUUAUUGGUCCUGUAGAUGAUCCAGAUGUGUGAGCCCAUGUGUAGCUAGAAUGACGGCAGGCAAAGCUGGGAACUCAGGACAGAGCUUGAGGAGCUGGGAGAUCUACAUGGAAGUUGAUUGCACACAUUAAGAAGAGGAACCAUAAAACAUUUUAAAAGAGAAAAGACAGUUUCUGAAUUCUGCUAAUACAUUUCACUCUGGCUUUGGUGUGAAAAAUACUGCAGAGUUAGAGAAGACAGCAGCAGAAUGACUGAUCAGGAGAGAAAUGGAAUACUUCUAAGGUGGAAGUUGUCUGUAUUUGGACAACUGCUGCUGAGUAGGUGAAGGAUCUAUGUAGAUGUUGGGAAUAGAGAAAAGAAGAAUUGACAAUCAAGUCAAGACUUGGGGUCUGUACAAUAGAAGGACGUAGUAAUACACGGCAGAGAUGGAGAAGAGAAGGAAGAUAGAAGUUCUGAAAUAUUGACUGAACAGGUAACUACAGUUUAAUCAUUUCAAAAUAUCAAUCCAUAGAUGUAUGUUACACAGAGAUGCACAGGAACAUGCACAAACAUCAUAAGGAAAUGGGAACGAGAUACCUGUUAUCCUCUGUGGAGACACAGUGGUGCAUCAUUUUGAGGUAGGUGAAGUUUCCUUUAAUGGAAAAAGAUACUCUUCUUCUGAGCAAGAAUGCACUUGAGAGUAUAUAUCUAUCUUUGUUGCUUUUUUACUUGGUGUUUUAAUUAGUUUUUUUUUCUGUGUUAAACACCAUGACCAAAAUAACUUGGGAAGGAAAAGUUAUACUUCAGCUCACAGGAUACAGUCUGUCAUCCAUGGAAGCUAAGGAAGGACUUCAGCAUUGCAGGAACUCAGAGCAGAAGCUAGAGAGAAAUGAAGGAACGCAGUAAUGCAGCUAUGCUCUUUACUAGUUUUCUCCUAGGUUCAAGUUCUUCUUCCUGUCCCCAUGGCAUAGGUUCAUUUUUUUUACAGAGCUGAGGACCAAACCCAGGGCCUUGCGCUUGCUAGGGAAGCGCUCUACCACUGAGUUAAAUCCCCAACCCCUGGCAUAGGUUCUUUAUAUAUGAUUCUAACUUUGUUUUCUGAAUAUUUUAAUUCUUUGUAGUGUUCGUCUCAUUAUGUAUGUGUCCAUUCCUGACAGCACCCCUCUGAUUAUUUGUUUCUUCACAACCUGUUUUUUUCAUCAGAAUCAAAGUAACAUUUGUUCCCCCUUUUAUUAUAUGUCUCUUUUAUUGUAGUACCCCACUUCUCAUUGAAAAUGUAGAAUCGCUUCUCGGCCUUUUGGUUAAGAUAGAGUGUAGGAAAAUGUAGAGAAGAUAAGUUGCAAGGUGAUUCGACUGUUUCUCCUAUCUUCUUUCAGUAUCACCUCAGAGAACCUGGUGCCUGGGCAAAUCACAUCUUUUUAUUUUUUUCAUCUCUUUAUAUUCCUUGAGGAUUAUUCAGUGUCUUAAUGGCAUGGGAGUGAGAGAUGAGUUGUUCCAAACUCAAGGUUUUCCUGGAAGUCCUCUGAUCGAUGUCUUUAAGUGGUUUCUGACACAGAUUACCAUUCGUGCUUUGACUCCUAACAUUCGCUUCUCUGUUGAACUCAGGCCAACUCUUUCCAUUUCUGCACCUUUCAUUCCUUAGUGAGUCAAAUGCUACCUUCUGUCACCUCUUGUUUCUCCCAGCUUUGCUUUGGAUUUUCAAGUUUGAAUAUACUGGCUUCUCCAUCUCUCAGUGAAUUUGAAAUAAAAUUUCUUUUAUUCAGGCAUCUGGUAGUAUGAAGUACCAAGAUCUGUUUCUGAAGUGUGAUGUGAUUAGGAAGAGGGGAGUAUAUGAGCUCUCGUAUGUGUAUUCUACAGUAUAAAGGCUCUUGUAUGUGUAUUAUACAGUAUAUAGGCUCUCAUAUGUGUAUUAUACAGUCUUCUCAUUGGUAUAACCUGAUACCUGGCAAAAAUCAGCUUAGAUGUGGGAGAGCUCCUUCAGACUGAGAGUUGCAGGGAACACACUCCAUCAGAGCAGAGAAGAGAUGGGAAGACAUGAGGCAUGGCAUCUAGACUCAGGAAACAGAAAGAACAGGAAGAAGAGCUAGGCUGCCAAACCUUAAGUUCCACCUCCAGGGGUUCACUUCCUCCAGGAAGAUUUCAUCUCCCAAAGCAGUGACUGCCAACCUGUGGGUCAAAAUCACCUUGGGUAUUGAAUAUCAGAUAUCCUGAAUAUCAGAUAUUUAGUUACAUUUUGAGAUUCAGAAGAGUAGCAAUAUUAUAAUUAUGAAGUGUCAAUAAAAUUAUUUUGUAACUGGG
rnacentral:sRNA from 1 species